CAUCUGUGAGAGAUACCGCGCUGUCCGUCUCCCAGGAAGGAAGUUCGUAUCUCUUGUGCGUGUUCUAAUUUUAAAAUUAACACAGGACUCCAAAAAUUCAACUGAGAAAUGGGAAUGAUCUUCCAGGUCCAAUGAUAUUAGUGUCUGGACCAAAGUCACAGCUACUGGCUUCCUGAAGACAGUGAUAUACAGACUGGGUCUCCACCAUGUGCAUGAGCUAGGAAAGGGCAGAAGAAAGAACUGGAGGAGAAUUGGUCCCGAUAGAAGGGAAGAGAUGUGAGAAGGAUAGAAGGAAGAAUCAUCCAGAACACAGAGGAGGAGGCUUCUGGGCCAAUGUACCACUGCUCCCAGCACAGAGGAGGUGAGCUGCACAGGCAGCAGCAGAACCCCCCCAACCCCCCCAUCAAAAUAAGAAGACACAUAAACAAGCCUCAAGACCAGACUUUCAGAUCACCUACAGCAACCUCAAAGGGAAACAAGAUGGAACACUCUGAUACUCAACCACCUGGACUCCCUGAACUGGCAACAAAAGAGGAUCUGGAAAAAAUGAAAUCAGAAAUAAUUUCAAAGAUAACAGCAGAGAUUGUGCCCAUAGUGCAAGACAUGAUUGAUAAAUCUAGAGAGGAGCUGAGGAACAUAAUGGAAUCCCAACAUAGGAAACAAAUGGAUUCCAUAAAGCAAAAACAAACAGAUUUCCAGGAGAUUAAAAACUCCAUUGAAAGUUUGCGCAGCAGAAUGAGGCAAUGCAAGGACAGAACUUAAGAUAUAGAAGAUGAGAUUGCAGUUAGUGACCAGGAAAAGAAAAAUUGCUUAAAAAUUGUAGGGGACCAUGAGAAAUCAAUCCAACAACUGGUAGAUGAUGCAAAGAAGAAUAACAUAAGAAUGAUCCAAGUCAGUGAAGAAAGAGGACAGAAUGCAGAUGACAUAAAAAAAAACUGUUCACAGAAGUGAUGGCAGAAAAAUUUCCAAGCAGGGGAAAAGAACUUCACAUACAUAUAUAGGUCUCCAACAAGCCUUGAUCAAAAAAAAAAUCUACACAUAGGCAUAUAAUAGUUAAAAUUCCAGAAACCCAACAGAAGAACAAAGUCUUACAAGCAGUGAGAGAAAAGAAACAAAUCACAUAAAAAGGAAAACCCAUCAGAAUCACAGCAGACUUCUCACCGCAAACCCUCAAGACAAGAAGAGUUUGGAGUGACUUAUUUUAUGUCCUAAAGGUAAACAGCCUCCAACCCAG
rnacentral:lncRNA from 1 species